rnacentral:rRNA from 1 species
CAAUAGCGUAUACUAAGGUUGUUGCAGUUAAAAGCUCGUAGUUGGAUCUCAGCUCCGCGGCUCGCGGUUCACCUCGUGGUGCUUACUGCCCGUCCGGACCUACCCGCCGGUUGUCCCUUGGUGCUCUUCGCUGAGCGGCUCGGGUGGCCCGGGAACGUUUACUUUGAAAAAUUAGAGUGUUCAAAGCAGGCGGCUCGCCUGGAUAAUGGUGCAUGGAAUAAUGGAAUAGGACCUCGGUUCUACUUUGUUGGUUUUCGGAGCUCGAGGUGAAGAUUAAGAGGGGCAGGCCGGGGGGCAUUCGUAUUACGGUGUUAGAGGUGAAAUUCUUGGAUCGCCGUAAGACGAACUACUGCGAAAGCAUUUGCCAAGAAUGUUUUCAUUAGUCAAGAACGAAAGUCAGAGGUUCGAAGACGAUUAGAU